rnacentral:rRNA from 1 species
CCUACGGGAGGCAGCAGUGGGGAAUUUUGGACAAUGGGGGCAACCCUGAUCCAGCCAUCCCGCGUGUGCGAUGAAGGCCUUCGGGUUGUAAAGCACUUUUGGCAGGGAAGAAACGACGCCGGAUAAUACCUGGUGUUAAUGACGGUACCUGCAGAAUAAGCACCGGCUAACUACGUGCCAGCAGCCGCGGUAAU